GACGAACGCUGGCGGCGUGCCUAAUACAUGCAAGUAGAACGCAGUUGCGAACGGGUGAGUAACGCGUAGGUAACUGCCUCAUAGCGGGGGAUAACUAUUGGAAACGAUAGCUAAUACCGCAUACUGUGAGAUGGACCUGCGUUGUAUUAGUUAGUUGGUGAGGGAAAGGCCUACCAAGGCGACGAUACAUAGCCGACCUGGGAGGGUGAUCGGCCAACCCUGGACUGAGACACGGCCCAGAACUCUACGGGAAGCAGCAGUAGGGAAUCUUCCGCAAUGGACCGAAGGCUUACCGAGCAACGCCGCGUGAGGUAAGGAGGUUUUCGGAUCGGUAAGCUCUGUUGUUAGGGAAGCGGUACCUAACCAGAAAGGGACGGCUAACUACGUGCCAGCAGCCGCGGUAAUAC
rnacentral:rRNA from 1 species